GUGCCAGCCGCCGCGGUAAUACGUAGGUGGCAAGCGUUAUCCGGAAUUAUUGGGCGUAAAGCGCGCGCAGGUGGUUUCUUAAGUCUGAUGUGAAAGCCCACGGCUCAACCGUGGAGGGUCAUUGGAAACUGGGAGACUUGAGUGCAGAAGAGGAAAGUGGAAUUCCAUGUGUAGCGGUGAAAUGCGUAGAGAUAUGGAGGAACACCAGUGGCGAAGGCGACUUUCUGGUCUGUAACUGACACUGAGGCGCGAAAGCGUGGGGAGCAAACA
rnacentral:rRNA from 1 species